AGAUUGAACGCUGGCGGCAUGCCUUACACAUGCAAGUCGAACGGUAGAGUAGCAAUACUUGAGAGUGGCGAACGGGUGAGUAAUAUAUCGGAACGUGCCCAGUCGUGGGGGAUAACGUAGAGAAAUUUACGCUAAUACCGCAUACGAUCUAAGGAUGAAAGCGGGGGAUCGCAAGACCUCGCGCGAUUGGAGCGGCUGAUAUCAGAUUAGGUUGUUGGUGAGGUAAAAGCUCACCAAGCCGACGAUCUGUAGCUGGUUUGAGAGAACGACCAGCCACACUGGGACUGAGACACGGCCCAGACCUCCGUA
rnacentral:rRNA from 1 species